UGCAAGAUGGAACUGUACCCCAACCC
rnacentral:piRNA from 1 species